GACGAACGCUGGCGGCGUGCUUAACACAUGCAAGUCGAGCGGUAAGGCCCUUUCGGGGGUACGACGAGCGGCGAACGGGUGAGUAACACGUGGGUGACCUGCCCUCAGCUCUGGGAUAAGCCUGGGAAACCGGGUCUAAUACUGGAUAUGACUCCAUGACGCAUGUUGUGGGGUGGAAAGCCUUGUGCGGCUGAGGAUGGGCCCGCGGCCUAUCAGCUUGUUGGUGGGGUGANGGCCUACCAAGGCGACGACGGGUAGCCGGCCUGAGAGGGCGACCGGCCACACUGGGACUGAGACACGGCCCGA
rnacentral:rRNA from 1 species